rnacentral:rRNA from 1 species
UCCUUCCGUAGGGUGAACCUGCGGAAGGAUCAUUA